UACGUAGGGACCGAGCGUUGUCCGGAUUCAUUGGGCGUAAAGAGCUCGUAGGCGGCUGUUCAAGUCGAACGUGAAAACUCGGAGCUCAACUCCGAGCCUGCGUUCGAUACUGGACGGCUAGAGUCUGGUAGGGGGAUCUGGAAUUCCUGGUGUAGCGGUGGAAUGCGCAGAUAUCAGGAGGAACACCGGUGGCGAAGGCGGGAUCCUGGGCCAGUACUGACGCUGAGGUGCGAAAGCCAGGGGAGCAAACGGG
rnacentral:rRNA from 1 species